UACAGAGGUCCCAAGCGUUGUUCGGAAUCACUGGGCGUAAAGGGUGCGUAGGCGGCGCGGAAAGUCAGGGGUGAAAUCCCGGAGCUCAACUCCGGAACUGCCUUUGAUACUCCCGCGCUUGAGAACUGGAGGGGAGACCGGAAUUCACGGUGGAGCAGUGAAAUGCGUGGAUAUCGUGAGGAACACUAGUGGCGAAGGCGGGUCUCUGGACAGUAUCUGACGCUGAGGCACGAAGGCCAGGGGGAGCGAACGGGG
rnacentral:rRNA from 1 species